GACGAACGCUGGCGGCGUGCUUAACACAUGCAAGUCGAACGGAAAGGCCCUGCUUUUGUGGGGUGCUCGAGUGGCGAACGGGUGAGUAUCACGUGAGUAACCUGCCCUUGACUUUGGGAUAACUUCAGGAAACUGGGGCUAAUACCGGAUAGGAGCUCCUGCUGCAUGGUGGGGGUUGGAAAGUUUCGGCGGUUGGGGAUGGACUCGCGGCUUAUCAGCUUGUUGGUGGAGUAGUGGCUUACCAAGGCUUUGACGGGUAGACGGCCUGAGAGGGUGACCGGCCACAUUGGGACUGAGGUACGGCCCAGACUCCUACGGGAGGCAGAAGUGGGGAAUAGUGCACAAUGGGCGGAAGCCUGAUGCAGCAACGCCGCGUGCGGGAUGACGGCCGUCGGGUUGUAAACCGCUUUCGCCUGUGACGAAGCGUGAGUGACGGUAAUGGGUAAAGAAGCACCGGCUAACUACGUG
rnacentral:rRNA from 1 species